UUAAUCAUUCAUACACUGUCAGUGUAAAGUUUUUUUACACUGGCAACCAAUCAAAUCUUUUAAAUUAUUUUAUUUUAUUUUUAUUUCAUUAAAUAAGCAAUUGACAUUAUAAUAUUAAAAGAUAUGAUUGGUUGCAAGUGUAAAAAAGUUUUACACUGGCAGUGUAUGAGUGAUUAACU
rnacentral:miRNA from 1 species